rnacentral:tRNA from 1 species
GGUCUCGUGGCCUAAUGGAUAAAGCGUUGGUCUCCGGAACCAAAGAUUGGGGGUUCGAGUUCCACCGAGAUCG